GGUCCCAAUUUAUUAUACUUGUAUUUUUCUUUGAGGCGACUAAGAAGGGUGUCAGUUUUAUGGUCGUAUUAGAUACUUUCUUGACGCUGAAACCAGUGCGCAUGCGCGACUAGAACCGAAUCUGGCGUCACUGGUCCCAAGCGGUCCCAAGAGUGCAAACACGUGUUGCUCGUGAAUUAUCGUAUGAUUUUACAAGGGUAAGGAAGAACUAGGACGACGAGUGGGCGGAUUUAUCAAAGGAUUUGCUUCCUUCGCGUUACACAAGGAGACUUCGGGAGAGAAUGGAAGCACAGUCACGCGAUUUCCACAAAUUGGGGAUUGCAAUAAUUGUUGUGUCAGCCUGGUUGGAUGAAACUUGUGAUAUACGUAUAAACAGAGAUGUUACAUAAUGGGUGAAAUUCGUGUUACAAGAAGAAUUGUGAAAGAAUGCAAAGAAAGAAAGGAUUCAUGAAUUUUCCAAAGAAAAUGUCCUUUCACCUUAACCGUUCUAUCACCUUGGACGGUUAUCCUAUAAUCGGUUGGACGAUGAUCGACGGCGGCACGAGCAGCCCUCUCGAAAUGGAGGGGGAAGGGUUGCUACCCGUUGCGCGACUGGAAGCGAUUCUGACCAGUUGCCGCGUGUACUCCGAACCGUUCGCGUCGUUGUUUAUGGGGUGCUCGAACUUGAUCGACCCGUGAUCGACCCCGCGACGUCCGGCAGGUAACAGGCAGUCGACUGGAAGACACCUGAGGAAUUGUUGUUACCUAUCGGCUACCAUUGUCUGGCGAGAAUGAUACUCGACUUGAGAACGACUCCUCCAGCCGAUGAUCCCGUCCAAGGACCCGAAUCCCGCGGGUUUCGAUUGUCGAGCGUGUUCAUUCGGGUCAAGGCUCCGACGCGAACGUGCAUUUGUAACACAGACCCUCGUUAACAAUGGACACGGAAUAGUGCGCUAAUUAGCCCGGUGGAUAUUUGGGAAAGGUGGAACGUACAGGGUGUUUCGGUAGAAAUAAUUGCGCGCUUUCAUUUUUGACCGUUUGUGACUCUACAGUAUUUCAUCGUCGGUUUGUUGUUGUAUGUUAAAUUAGUAAUUUUAAAUGACCAACCUUGGAGGUCAUCGACCUGGUCUCCAUUAAAAUAGAUCUACACCUGCAAACAAGUAACAUGUAAAUAUAUCUAGUUAGAGAUGUAAAUUGUUGAAUACAGAGGCACAGAGUUAAUUUGCACAUGAUGGGAGAGCCUGGUGUCAAUUGAAACAGGGUUUUCUUCUUAUUUUGAUGUAGCAACUAUUAUUGCAGUAUUAACAGUAUUUAUCAAAGUGAAAUAAUUCACCCGAAACGGUUGUACCUCGCUCGUACCGAAUUGUGUUGGUAAAUAAUUUCCGAGCUCGUGUUUGAACGUUCAGAUACACUCGUUCGCUUCGUCGCGGAAACACGACGUCGUCUCCGCGAUCACGCGAAAUGUUUUAUGACUCGCGAGCCUGUGUAUUUACGUAGUCGCGUUACCAAGCGUGUUGUCCCUAGGCCGUGCAUAAUUGAAUCGCGGUUUGUUUGUCACGAUUGGCUCGCCGCAGCGAGAAUCGCAAUUUUGACGAGCACAAAUGUUUGUAUUUACCGUAUCGCGAAUGAAAACUGCGGAAAACAAUGAGACGCGUUUCCUCUUCCAUCCAACCAGUCAUUUUACAUGUCUGCUUGUAUUCUGAAAAGUAGGAGAAAAAUUGCCAAAUGUAAUUUCAAAUGUACCAAAAAUAUUUUAGAAGUUAUAGAAGCAUUGCUUAAAUUUGCCUUUGGGAUACUAUGUUUGGAGUCCAAGUAUACGAGUUUCUUCAUAUAUUUUUUUUAUAGGGAAGAAUUUAUGCAAUGUUUCUGUAACUUUGCGGAUAUUUUAGGUAUGUUUCAAAGUACCUUUGGUAAUUAUUUCAAUUCAUUUCGCAUAGGAAGGAAAGCAUUGUAAAGUAAAAGAAAAGUAAUUAUCGUCAUGAAUUGAAAUACAUUGAGGCUUUGAAAUGUGAAAUUAAAAAAAUUAAACAGACCUCCAGUUUUGUUACGAAUAACAUUUCUGUAAUAAGGCCACUGUUCGAUGCAACAGAGGAAUUGUUAUAAAAUUCUAUCAACUCGAGAGAAGCUAGUUUAACAGGUACAUUAGUAUCGGAGAGGAAUGAAUUUCGCGGAAUUAUUAUCAUUCCAAAAGAUGUUCCGAUGGUUGGAUUGUAACGACGAUUUCUAAUGACUUGUAAACAGUAAUAUUUUUACAAUUAAUUUUUCCGAGACAAUUGUCCUGUUAAAAAUAGAAUUAUAUUUGUUUCCUAGCGCGCCAACUUUUCUCAAAAUACAUUGUGUGUGAUUUGUGUGUGUGAUCAUUGUGAAACUGUGAUCCUUUGGCAGAAAAGCUCACAGAAACGCUUGCGAAGCUUUUGUAUAAUAUUUUUAACAUGGUAUGCAGUAAUUGUCGCGCAGAGUCUGUUAUGAGAGUCUGUUAUGAGAGUCAGUUAUGAGAGUUCGUAUCAUGUAAAGUAGUGUCAGAUUUAGAGAUUAGAAUUAAAUGGUUGACGAUAGAAAAUAUUAGUUUAAGAUAGACAGUACUGAAAGAUCUCUCGAUCUCGGAGGAAUUUUUACGGAAGCCUCCUUGCGAACGACGUAAUUCGCUAUUAAAAUAUUCAAAGUACAUUGUACGAAGAGUUUUUCGGCCGACUGUAAUUCUGGGUUCACGUAAAACGGGGACAAGCCUUUAAGCACUCCGAGUGGCCUUUGGGCGGCUUUAACCCGACGGAUACGCGCCUGAGAACUUUUAACGAGUUACCCUCGAAGGUACGGGUUUACUCUGCACAGAGAUUCCCUCUGAAAGGGAUUAAGACGACGGUUGACGUCUACGACAUUCGUUGAAUGAAAAUUUCCCCUGUUCGCUCGCGAGACGCAAUUAUACAAAUCGAGUUCAAGAGUUAAAGUGGAUGCGUGGAAUGGUGGACAGCACGAAAACCAAUCGGAGUGAUUGUCAUGCAACAGAAGUAAAAGAGCUAAUCGAAGCCAACGGAGAAGAAGAAAAAGAAGAAGAAGAAGAAGAAGAAGAAGAAGAAGAAGAAGAAGAAGAAG